rnacentral:lncRNA from 1 species
AUUAUAGCUAGAAUAAACAAGUUUAUGAGGUUGGGUCUGAGACUUCUGGAGGAUUUUGGUUGAACCCAAACACCCAGCUUCAGUUUUGUUUUUUUUUUUUUGAUUCUUCAUUUUGCCAGAGUAAAUUAAUUGACCUUAGGUUUGAAAAAGUACUUAUUGAAUACCACAAAUAAUCUAAUGGUUUAAAAAUACUAGCUGUAUUGUAUUUGUUUAUAUUUUACUUUUUUACUUAAUUCCCUUAAAACCAGCAAGCUCUUAAAGAAUAAUGGGAAUGGGUAAAUGAAAUAAGCUUUUAAUUCUUACUUGUGUUAAAUGAAUAUUGUAAGCAAAGUCCAAAAUGAAAGUCAUGAUUAUUCUAAAG